GAACAACAUCAUGAUGUAACAAUCCAAUGGGCAUUUUCAUCAAAAAUAAAACAACUCAAGUCAACCCUGUAAACAACUCAGGUACUCCUGGUCAUCCCAGUCCUAUGGCUGUAACCACCAGUACACAUCACACCAUCACCUCCAUCAAAAAGUAGAACCAUGGCUAUCCAGAACAGUACUCUCUGAACCUCACCUUCUUGGCGCUAGGUCCCCCCUUCUUCUUUGCAGGGGCAUCCGUGGUCCAUGGUGUUCGGCAACCGCGACAACAUACCCUCGAGUGGUUCUCUCACCUGCAAUUGUGUCAACUUUAAGUUCAGGUCAAACAAACAGUCCAAUUCCCUUUGAAUUCAGUGUGCAGCUUCUCAUUGAGUGGGUGAUUGCCGAGCUCAACCGCAUAGUUGUUUUAUUUGAAAUAGUUAGCUUGGAUCCACCCGAGAGAAACACACGUAUGUAGAAGUGCAAAGCUAAGCAAGCUGCUUGAUUGAUUUUACUGGGAUGGCAGCGUAGAUGUUCGUACAAGAAUGACCUGAACCUUGGUUCUGGCUGGCUACAGAUUUAGUCAAUCAAAUCGACCCUCCCUCAUGCAUGUGAGCUGGUGAUAGCCCAAGGUGUGCUCGAAGCAUGUCAAGAUCCGCCCUGUGUGGGAUCCUAAACACAUGCUGGGUAUCCUGCAAGGACCAAGAGCAUAAAACAUAAGGCUGCAAGGAAUUGCAUGAAGCAACUGUAAUACAGUAUGAGACAGCGAGCAGAGAAGCCAUAUCUGUUCGUGCUUCUUCAGUUCAGAUCAGUUCAAGAGGAUGUGUCAUAUAGGGUCGAACCCAUCCAAUAUCACACGUGCAUCCUAGCUCAACUGGUUGACCCCAGUGUCAACCCAUCAGGAGGUCCUGGGUUCAAACGCAAUGUUCUCCUUUUUCUCCUACUAGAUGGAAAGUGCGGCUUGCCGCACCCCGCACCCCUGCAGGGUGCAGUCGUAUCCCCCCCGCGGUCGUAUUCAACCUGAUAAUAAAGCUAUCAGAUCAAAGGUGUAAGAACAACAUCAUGAUGUAACAAUCCAAUGGGCAUUUUCAUCAAAAAUAAAACAACUCAAGUCAACCCUGUAAACAACUCAGGUACUCCUGGUCAUCCCAGUCCUAUGGCUGUAACCACCAGUACACAUCACACCAUCACCUCCAUCAAAAAGUAGAACCAUGGCUAUCCAGAACAGUACUCUCUGAACCUCACCUUCUUGGCGCUAGGUCCCCCCUUCUUCUUUGCAGGGGCAUCCGUGGUCCAUGGUGUUCGGCAACCGCGACAACAUACCCUCGAGUGGUUCUCUCACCUGCAAUUGUGUCAACUUUAAGUUCAGGUCAAACAAACAGUCCAAUUCCCUUUGAAUUCAGUGUGCAGCUUCUCAUUGAGUGGGUGAUUGCCGAGCUCAACCGCAGAGUUGUUUUAUUUGAAAUAGUUAGCUUGGAUCCACCCGAGAGAAACACACGUAUGUAGAAGUGCAAAGCUAAGCAAGCUGCUUGAUUGAUUUUACUGGGAUGGCAGCGUAGAUGUUCGUACAAGAAUGACCUGAACCUUGGUUCUGGCUGGCUACAGAUUUAGUCAAUCAAAUCGACCCUCCCUCAUGCAUGUGAGCUGGUGAUAGCCCAAGGUGUGCUCGAAGCAUGUCAAGAACCGCCCUGUGUGGGAUCCUAAACACAUGCUGGGUAUC
rnacentral:lncRNA from 1 species